rnacentral:rRNA from 1 species
GAUUGUAACGCGUGGAUAACCUGCCCAUUAGCCUGGGACAACGCCGGGAAACCGGUGCUAAUACCGGAUACGUUCAUCAGAUCGCAUGAUUUGAUGAAGAAAGGAGCAAUCCGCUAAUGGAUGGGUCCGCGUCCCAUUAGCUAAGUUGGUAGGGUAACGGCCUACCAAGGCGACGAUGGGUAGCCGGCCUGAGAGGGCGACCGGCCACACUGGAACUGAGACACGGCCCAGACUCCUACGGGAGGCAGCAGUGGGGAAUCUUCCGCAAUGGGCGCAAGCCUGACGGAGCAACGCCGCGUGAGCGAAGAAGGCCUUCGGGUUGUAAAGCUCUGUCCCGGGGGAAGAACAAAUGACGGUACCCCGGGAGGAAGCCCCGGCUAACUACGUGCCAGCAGCCGCGGUAAAACGUAGGGGGCGAGCGUUGUCCGGAAUUACUGGGCGUAAAGGGCGUGUAGGCGGUUGCGCAAGUCAGUAGUGAAACCCGCCGGCUUAACCGGCGGCUGGCUACUGAAACUGCGCGACUUGAGUGCAGUAGAGGGGAGUGGAAUUCCCAGUGUAGCGGUGAAAUGCGUAGAUAUUGGGAGGAACACCAGUGGCGAAAGCGGCUCCCUGGCCUGUAACUGACGCUGAGGCGCGAAAGCGUGGGUAGCAAACAGGAUUAGAUACCCUGGUAGUCCACGCCGUAAACGAUGGGUGCUAGGUGUUGCGGGUAUCGACCCCCGCAGUGCCGCAGUUAACGCAAUGAGCACCCCGCCUGGGGAGUACGGCCGCAAGGCUGAAACUCAAAGGAAUUGACGGGGGCCCGCACAAGCGGUGGAGCAUGUGGUUUAAUUCGACGCAACGCGAAGAACCUUACCAGGUCUUGACAUCUCCU